CCGACAACUAAACCAUUGUCAUCACUACGAGAAAUGCAAACACACAUGGAGAGCAUGGAGUUGGAGGAAGAUCCAUCACUUUAUUUUCAGAAAGAGAUGGCCCGGGGGGAUACAGAGGCAUUCCAGCAGCACAGCAAAAACAAUCAUGUCAGCCAUCCAAAAACUGAAUCAAAGCCAUGCCGGCCAGCUUCCAUGCCCACACAGGUGUCACUGUGUACCAGCAAAGACAGGAUACUCCCAAAUCCUCGAGGAAAGUCUAUAGCACCUUGUGCUUUACCUUGGCAGGGAGUCCGCACAGGCUCAGAGACAUCCGCUGUCACCGCUUUCAAUCCUCUAACAGGACUAGCUGGUUUCCCGAAGAGGCAGUAUUGACUUGUAGGGCUUGUUGUGAAGGAGAUGGAUAUGCUGAUGUUCACCUGGGUGUCAAUAAAGCACCCUGAAAUACUCAGCAGUACCCCAAAUCUUCCAAGCAGGAGAACUAGGCCCAAUUCCCCACACUGGCAAACUUGAGGCACAAACAGCUGAUCCAUGGAAGGCCGACAGUGAAUCAAGGCCUCCUUCCCAGGCCAACGACUUGUGUGCCAGGGCAAGACGGAAGUAUCAGAUACGACACGUUCAGUGCACUCCCUCUUACUGUACAAGGCUCAAGUGGGCCUUCCAAAAACACCUAGAGGAGUCCAGCCUGAGUGACGGAUUAUACACCUUAAGCUGCUGGCCUCCAAGAAACAGACAAGGGACUCAGGGUGGCCUUCUCACCGUGGGAGGUUGGGGUAAAGGACCCUUUUGGACAAAGUCCGGUGUCCUCACACUUGACCCUUGACCACUGUAACCUUCCAGGGCCGGUAAUGAAUACACCUUUACAAGGCACCAGCAGGGAGCAAACACUCAGAACUUGAGAUGACCCAGCUGCUCGAAAGUCAAAGAAGAGGCUCUCACCUCCAGCAUGGAGCAAGGACAGGGAGGAGGCAAAGGCAAAGGAGAGCCCAGGAAGGGGAGAAAUGUAUAGACACCAGGCCUGCUUCUCCUGCAGAGGCAAGAGAACAUGGCUGAGCAGCCCCAGCAGAGCUUCAGAGAAUUAAAUUGUUUACCUCUAAACCUAGAUGGGGGCAAACAAGGGGCGGUUAUAUAGGAUCAAACGGGAGGAGUAUUUUUGGUCCAGUGCUCCAGAAGAGGGCAAAAAUGGAGCAAAGGGCGGCUAGGACCCCCUGACAGCAGACCAGAGGUAGCUUCUGCUGCACCCUGGACCUUUAUCAGUUUAACACACCCAAGCUGCAGCCCUGGGGGCAUCAGGAAGUGGGAACACCUUUUUUGGGGUCCUCUUCCUCAAGAAGCCUCUUCCUUGACUCCCCAAAUCUGUCUGGAUCGCCAUCUGCCAGGACUUUCCCUGGUCAGCGAACACCCCUCUGCCCCUCCGCGUUGAUGGCAGUGGAACCAGUGAGACCAGCAGCUGAGGUCCUUUCGCCUGUGCCAACGCAGAGCUGAUGCAGCAACAGUGACAGCCGCACUGCAGAGUUAUCCAGGGAAGGAAGGGGGAUGACUCCACCGGUUGCAGGAAAAUAAACCUCUGAGGCAGGUCUCCAGUGACUGUCCCACAGAGGAGCUUUCCCACUUGGGAGUUCAUUUUUAGCACUGAGAACCAGGAACGAAGUUACACGCCCACAUGUACUCAGACAGUAGGAAGGGACUUUAUUCACAGACUGCUCAAAAACACAGGCUGCAGAAAACAGGGAUGUGGACUGGCAAACCUGUUGCACCCUUCCAUCAGCCGCUUUCUUCUUCACUGAAUGCCCUGGAGCUCUGUGGCCAGGAGGCAAAACCCACCCCUUAUCCGCCUCUAUCGUGCGCCCCUCCCCCUGCCCCCCCACCAGCCGGAAGUAGAAGCCUUAUGAUGAGGUUUCAAGGAAAACAUCCUGCCUGGUUUUCUCCACUCCAAUGGGCUCUCCAAACACAUCCUUGACCCGGGACACAGGCAGAGUUCAAACCCAGCCUAUGUUCUGUCAGGCUGCUGGUCGUCCUGG
ensembl:lncRNA